rnacentral:tRNA from 1 species
GCCGGAGUGGCGAAAUUGGUAGACGCGAUGGAUUCAAAAUCCAUUGGGCUUUGCGUCCGUGCCGGUUCGAGUCCGGCCUCCGGUA